UACGAAGGGGGCGAGCGUUGUUCGGAAUUACUGGGCGUAAAGGGCGCGUAGGCGGCGAACCAAGUCCGAUGUGAAAGUCCUGGGCUUAACCUGGGGACUGCAUUUGAUACUGGUUUGCUUGAAUUCGGGAGAGGAUAGCGGAAUUCCCAGUGUAGAGGUGAAAUUCGUAGAUAUUGGGAAGAACACCGGUGGCGAAGGCGGCUAUCUGGACCGACACUGACGCUCAGGCGCGAAAGCGUGGGGAGCAAACAGG
rnacentral:rRNA from 1 species